rnacentral:rRNA from 1 species
GACGAACGCUGGCGGCGUGCUUAACACAUGCAAGUCGAACGGAAAGGCCCUGCUUGCAGGGUACUCGAGUGGCGAACGGGUGAGUAACACGUGGGUGAUCUGCCCUGCACUUCGGGAUAAGCCUGGGAAACUGGGUCUAAUACCGGAUAGGAGCCAUUUUUAGUGUGAUGGUUGGAAAGUUUUUUCGGUGUAGGAUGAGCUCGCGGCCUAUCAGCUUGUUGGUGGGGUAAUGGCCUACCAAGGCGGCGACGGGUAGCCGGCCUGAGAGGGUGGACGGCCACAUUGGGACUGGGAUACGGCCCAGACUCCUACGGGAGGCAGCAGUGGGGAAUAUUGCACAAUGGGCGCAAGCCUGAUGCAGCGACGCCGCGUGGGGGAUGACGGCCGUCGGGUUGUAAACUCCAUUCGCUAGGGACGAAGCUUUUUGUGACGGUACCUAGAUAAGAAGCACCGGCUAACUACGUG